UAAGCCGCGGGCCAGUCUCCAGGGGGUAAACUCAGCCCAGCUCAGGAACCCUUCAAAGACACCACAGUUGGGGCUGCUUCUCCUUGCUUGCUGAUAACCUGAAACCCAGGGAGGAGGUGGGUCUGUGGUGUCCCAGGAUGCUGGACUCCUCAGUGGCAGAUGCGAUGACCCGACUGACCCUGAAACUCUUGGAGAAGAAACUGGAGCAAGAGUGUGACGAUGUGGAAGGGAAUUCUGAAGACCCCCACCUCAUACCAGGAAACAAGGACAGGCUGGAUGCAGCCCUGCUGGGUGCUCUGAGGAGGAGGCAAGAUCUUCUGCAGAGACUCUGGGAACAGCAUGUCCUAGAGGAGGGCUCCCAGGCCCGAGCACGGAGCAGCGUGAACAGAGGAGAGGCCCGUGGGCCAGCGCUGCCCCCAGAGGUGCCCCCCAUGGGCAUCUACCCUGCCACCUCCCUGCCCCCGCCAGCCCUGGAGCCACCACGGAUUAUCCAACACUCAGCCCCCCAGCCUCCUGCCACCAUCAUUCAACAGCUACCUCAGCAGCCCCUCAUCACACAGAUUCCCCCUCUCCAGGCCUUCCCCACUCAAAGAGCAGGAAGUAUUAAGGAAGACAUGGUGGAGAUGAUGCUGAUGCAGAACGCACAGAUGCACCAGACCAUUAUGCAAAACUUGAUGCUCAAAGCCCUGCCCUCAUCAGCGUUUUUGCCCUCCGGGGGAUCACAGGCCGCCCCCCUGUACGCCACUGCUCAGCCAGAGGCAGAAGCGGCCCUCCGUGCAUCACCACCACCACUACGCGCCCCCAAGUCCCCUGCAGGCCAUCCCAGCACCUGGCUCCCUGGCUGGUUACUGCACAUGGCCCACGGUGGUCUCGGCCACCGCCCUCCCACCUGCCUCCAGCUUCCUGCCAGCCCUGCACCACUUGGCUGGCCCCUCAUCAGCAGCCCUUAGCCCCUUUCCUAGGGUGGCAUCUGAUGGCGUCCAGCCCACGCAGGCUCCGGGCUUGUGAGCCUCCACAUGUGGACUCUGCGCCACACGUUUUCAUCAGCCCCUUUUGGGUAAACCCUCUCGUGCCCUAACUUCCACAGUAGCAAGAGCCCAGUCCUCCUCACUGCUCCCGUGGACCCUGCGGGCUCGCCGCAACGCUGGCCUGGGAAGCGGUGGAAGCAGGUGGCUAAGGAGGUGCCACGCAGCUCAGCUCCCUCGGGCUGGACCCCUGCUCAGGGAGCCUCCGAGGCAGGAGAGCGGCAGGGGUCCACACGGUGUGCCUGGCAUAUGCUUUUGUGAAAUGCAAUUAAAGUUCUGACUCAAUUUCUUAUUUUCACAUUGACAUUUUCUAACAUGGUUCUCCUGUUUGGUUUUAUUUCUCAACAUAAUUGUUAGUUCAAUAUGGGGAAUAAAUUUGGCAGAAGUUGGUUGUCUUGAGAUGGCCUAAUAAAUUGGAAAAACUGUUUUGUCUGCGUCCUGGGUAAGGAAAACCCCGUUUUUCUCUGCGAAUCCCCUUUACUCACAGGCAGAACAGACCCUUCUAUCACUUCUAGUUGCUAAUUCUGACAUCAGCUGGGUGUCCUGCAGCCCCACUCGGUUCUGACACCAUCCACCCAUGUAAGGACUCAGUCCCAUGAGACUCCCCCAUGCCAGCCGCAGAUUCAGGUUGUCCCCUGUGCUUCUGACCUACUAGGUCAGGGAGCAGAGGUUCCCAUGACCCCCUUUUCAGGUUUGAUUAGUUUGUUAGGGCGGCUCACAGAACUCGGGCAACACUUACUGACAUUAACCAGUCUAUUUAAGGGGGUGAUAAGGGAUGGAGUGGGUCUGGGAGGGUCGCGAGCACAGGAGCUUCUGUCCCGUGGGGUGCGUCACCCUCACCGUGUGGACGUCUGCACCCACCCGGAAACUCUCUGAACCCUGUGCUAUUGGGACUUAUGGGAGCUUCCUCACGUAGGCCUGAGGUAGAUUAACUGCAUUUCUGAAUACACACAGGAGUGUAGAGGGCCAAGGAGCCCAAGGGACCCCUGGAGCAGGAGGAGGGACCAAUCCUGGCAGAGGCUGGGUUUGCAGAAGCUCUGGAACCGGGGCAUGGUAGCCAGGUCGGGGCGGACAGAAGUGACAGGUGGAAUCAAAUAGCCAAGGCAGAGCUCCAUGGCUGGGUGGGGAGGACUUUUCUUAGAUAUAGGUCACACUGGCCAAUGUGCUCUGUUGUGUUCAAUGAUAUGUAAGAACCCCUCUGAAUCCAUAAAAAAGAAAAAUCAAUAGAAAAACGAGAAUGAGGGACGCCUGGGUGGCUCAGUCGGUUAUAUGGCCAGCUUUUGAUUUUGGCUCAGGUCAUGAUCUCAGGGUGACGAGACUGAGGCCAUGUCAUCCGCUGUCGGUUGGGCUCCCUGCUCAGUGGGGAGUCAGCUUGGGAUUCUCUUUCUCUCUCUCUCUGUUCCUCCACCCCCCCCAAUAAAUCUUAAAAAAAAAAAAAGAAAAAUGAGCAUAAGACAAGCAGUUACAGUGGAGGGGAAGCCAAUGGUGAUGAGAAAUACAGGACAGCCUCAGUGCAUAUGUGACCAAGGGAGGGGUCAGGGUGCAUGGAGGUUGGGGUCUGGACCCCAGGGUCACUGCUAUGGGCUGCAGGGGGGGACAAGUAACCAGGUCCUUUGGAAGCACUGGGCAUUGCCUGAUAAAGCUGGAUACUCCACCCCUAGCCCCCCAGCCAUUUUGCUCUGAGGCCCAUACCCAGGGAGAACUCUGUGCCCCCGACAUGACCAGAGAGGCAUGGGGGAAUGUCCGGAAUUCCUGCUGACAGGAGUAGCGGGUCUUGGGAUCCCUUCAGUCUCUUAUUUUAUUUUUUUA